rnacentral:rRNA from 1 species
GGAAUUAAUAACUGUAAUGAUCCUUCCGCAGGUUCACCUACGGAAACCUUGUUA